CACGUAGUUAGCCGGGGCUUCUUAGUCAGGUACCGUCAUUCUCUUCCCUGCUGAUAGAGCUUUACAUACCGAAAUACUUCUUCACUCACGCGGCGUUGCUGCAUCAGGGUUUCCCCCAUUGUGCAAUAUUCCCCACUGUUGCCUCCCGUAGGAGUUUGGGCCGUGUCUCAGUCCCAAUGUGGCCGGCCACCCUCUCAGGUCGGCUACUGAUCGUCGCCUUGGUGGGCCGUUACCCCGCCAACCAGCUAAUCAGACGCGGGUCCAUCUCAUACCACCUCGGUUUUUCACACUGGACCAUGCAGUCCCGUGCGCUUAUGCGGUAUUAGCAGUCAUUUCUAACUGUUAUCCCCCUGUAUGAGGCAGGUUACCCACGCGUUACUCACCCGUCCGCCGCUAAGUCAAUAUGGCUUCAUUCCGAAAAAUUUCACCUUAUCGCUUCGCUCGACUUGCAUGUGUUAAGCACGCCGCCAGCGUUCAUCUCGAGCCACGGAGUCAAACUAC
rnacentral:rRNA from 1 species